GACCUGUGAGAGAAAGCCGGGGAAGCAGAACCCUUUGAUGGAGACAACAGAGUCAGGACAAUAUUGUUUAAAACUCCUAAAUCCAAACAUGCCUGAAGCUAUAAGUUACUUCUGAAAUUUAAAAAUUUGUCUGUGGUAUCUGUUUAUUAUGGCAGCCCAGUGAGACUAAGACAGGCCAUCAAAAGACGUGAACGUUUUGGACCUUCUCUUGGGCCCUAGUAAACAGAAAUCAGGCUACUUAUUAAACUAAACCACGUUCUGAACUGUUACUGCUACUGGAAACCAGUCCCGAUCCAGACCCCAAAAGAGGAUUCUUGGAUCUUGCACAAGAAAGAAAGGACACAGUGAAGGAGUGAGAUGUGAAGGUGCUCUGUCAUUGCCUCAGUCAAGACUUUCAUGGUACAUUGGAAGAAAGAGAAGCGUGAACAAAUUGCAUGAUACUUGAGGUCAUGCUGUGUACCUGUAUUGAACAAGAAUAAGGGAAGAAAGCUGGGAACCUGGAUCUCCCAUAUAUUGGAAGUUUUGUAAAAACCUUGAGGGUCCCUUCCACUACAUAUGGGGAUUAUGGGAACUGCAAUUCAAGAUGAGAUUUGAGUGAGGACACAGCCAAACCACAUGGUUUUAGAACAUUGACGAAGAGAGAAGACAACCCACUUUGCCAUAUAUGCCCAUGGUCUUACCAAGGCUAGAGUACAGUGGCACAGUCAUAGCUCACUGCAGCCUUAAACUCCCAGACUCAGGCAAUGGAUCCGAUCCUCCCACCUCAGCCAGCCUCCCAAGUAGCUGAGACUACAG
rnacentral:lncRNA from 10 species